rnacentral:misc_RNA from 1 species
AAGACGUUCAACAUGUGAUGUAGUUUGUUAACGGCAGUCUUUGUGUCGUUUAAAGACAAAGCAAGAGCUCUCCGUUCUCUAAAUGCAUUCACCACCCAAUUUUUCAGCGCGCGUUUACUAAUUCCUUUGGCUUCAGUUCCGCCUUCAAAGAGCUGCAUUGUUUUCAAAGCUUCAUCUUCUCUCAUAAAACGCAUUAUAUCCUCCAGAUAGAUGAACUUUGAGUCAGGCUUCG